GUGUCAGCAGCCGCGGUAAGACGAGGGAUCCUAGCGUUGCUCGGAAUCAUUGGGCGUAAAGCGGGUGUAGGUGGCUUGACAAGUCAGGUGUGAAAGCCCAGGGCUCAACCCUGGAAGUGCAUUUGAAACUGUCGAGCUUGAGUGCUAGAGAGGUUAUUAGAAUACCUGGUGUAGUGGUGAAAUACGUAGAUAUCAGGUGGAACACCGGAGGCGAAGGCGGAUAACUGGCUAGACACUGACACUGAGACCCGAAAGUGUGGGGAUCAAACAGGAUUAGAUACCCUGGUAGUCC
rnacentral:rRNA from 1 species